rnacentral:rRNA from 1 species
UAGGGAAUCUUCGGCAAUGGGGGCAACCCUGACCGAGCAACGCCGCGUGAGUGAAGAAGGGUUUCGGCUCGUAAAGCUCUGUUGUUAAAGAAGAACACGUAUGAGAGUAACUGUUCAUACGUUGACGGUAUUUAACCAGAAAGCCACGGCUAACUACGUGCCAG